rnacentral:rRNA from 1 species
GACAGAGGUCCCGAGCGUUAGGCGGAAUCACUGGGCUUAAAGCGUGUGUAGGCGGAUCGUUAAGUGCCUUGUGAAAUCCCACGGCUCAACCGUGGAAUGGCUGGGCAUACUGGCGGUCUUGAGUGACCUAGGGGCAACUGGAACAAACGGUGGAGCGGUGAAAUGCGUAGAUAUCGUUUGGAACGCCAACGGCGAAAGCUGGUUGCUGGGGGUCAACUGACGCUGAGACACGAAAGCCAGGGGAGCAAACGGGAUUAGAUACCCCGGUAGUCCUGGCCGUAAACGAUGUCCACUAGAUCGCAGCAGCUCUGACGUUGUUGCGGUCGAAGCAAAAGUGCUAAGUGGACCGCCUGGGAAGUACGGUCGCAAGGCUAAA